GAGUGGGAUCAUCGCCUCCAUCCCGUAGGCCAAGCUGAAAGGAGAUUCUCCAGUCGGGACACGGAGUAUCGUUCGGUACGCCCAUAGGAUGGAAUUCAAUUCCUCGACCCAAAGGCCUUUAGCUUCAUUCAGUCGGGUCUUUAGUCCAUACAGAAUAGUCCGGUUGGUUACCUCGACCUCGUCGUUGGAUUGUGGAUGCCCGACCGAGGUCAGCCUGUGCGUG
rnacentral:lncRNA from 1 species